rnacentral:sRNA from 1 species
CGGAAGGAUCAUUGUCAAAUCCUUGUACCGAAUGACCUGCGAACAGCUUCCAAAAAAAUCACAAGCGUUGUUGCUUGGUGUGGGUCGGUGACUGGUUGCCGGACGCGUCGAGCAAAUCGAAAACAAAAAUCCGGCGCGGGAAGCGCCAAGGACCAGCGAAACAGAGGAUGGCCUUCCCGCGGUAAUCUGGCCGCGGGGGUUAAAAGGGUCUCCAAAUGAGAAUGUUAUACAAUACGACUCUCGGCAACGGAUAUCUAGGCUCUCGCAUCGAUGAAGAACGUAGCAAACUGCGAUAGUUGGUGUGAAUUGCAGAAUCCCGUGAACCAUGGAGUCUUUGAACGCAAGUUGCGCCCGAAGCCAUUAGGCCGAGGGCACGUCUGCCUGGGCGUCACGCAGUGCGUCGUCCCCCCUCACCCGUGUCCCGAAAGGGUCGCGGGGCUUAGCGUGGGGGCGGAAGUUGGCUUCCCGUGCAGCGUUUGCGGCUAGCCAGAAACACCGGUUCCCUCGGCGCGGACGUCGCGACCAGUGGUGGCAAGCUAGAGAUUGUACGCGAGUUGCCGGCAAGCUGCGUCGAGGAGAGAAUUUGGACCCCGUGGGAGACGAGUGUCCCUUCAGCGAGGGGCAAUCGCAAGGAUUGCGACCCCAGGUCAGGC